GGCGCGUCUCUCCCGCUGCCCCCUCGCGCUGCGCCCUGGGAAAGCUCCCUUCAGGACUUGGCGUCACGGCCUACAAAGGUAGGCCUCAGGGCGCGUCUCUUACUGCCCCUCGCGGUGCGCCCUGGGUAAGCUCCCUUCAGGACUUGGCGUCACGGCCUACAAAGGUAGGCCUCAAUGACGUCCUCCACAGUGCGCUCUGGGUAAGCUCCCUUCAGGAUUUGGCGUCACAGCCUACAAAGGUAGGCCUCAGGGCGCGUCUCUUACUGCCCCUCGCGGUGCGCCCUGGGUAAGCUCCCUUCAGGACUUGGCAUCACGGCCUACAAAGGUAGGCCUCAGGGCGCGUCUCCUACUGCCCCUCGCGGUGCGCCCUGGGAAAGCUCCCUUCAGGACUUGGCGUCACGGCCUACAAAGGUAGGCCUCAGGGCGCGUCUCCUACUGCCCCUUACGCUGCGCUCUGGGAAAGCUCCCUUCAGGACUUGGUGUCACGGCCUACAAAGGUAGGCCUCAGGGCGCGUCUCUUACUGCCCCUCGCGGUGCGCCCUGGGUAAGCUCCCUUCAGGAUUUGGCGUCACAGCCUACAAAGGUAGGCCUCAAUGACAUCCUCCAGAGUGCUCUGGGUAAGCUCCCUUCAGGACUUGGCGUCACGGCCUACAAAGGUAGGUCUCAGGGCGCGUCUCCUACUGCCCCUCGCGCUGCGCUCUGGGAAAGCUCCUUUCAGGAUUUGGCGUCACAGCCUACAAAGGUAGGCCUCAAUGACAUCCUCCACAGAGUGCUCUGGGUAAGCUCCCUUCAGGACUUGGCGUCACGGCCUACAAAGGUAGGCCUCAGGGCGCGUCUCCUACUGCCCCUCGCGGUGCGCCCUGGGAAAGCUCCCUUCAGGACUUGGCGUCACGGCCUACAAAGGUAGGCUUCAGGGACGUCAUCCGCAGUGCGCUCUGAGAAAGCUCCCUUCAGGACUUGGCGUCACGGCCUACAAAGAUAGGCCUCAGACGGUGUCUCCUACUGCCCUCGAAGUGCGCCCUGGGUAAGC